AUGCCGAUGGUGCGUGCCUAAACAUGCAGUCGAACGCGAAAGUUUCUUCGGAAAUGAGUAGAGUGGCGCACGGGUGAGUAACGCGUGGAUUAUCUACCUAUUGGUACGGGACUACAGUUGGAAACGACUGCUAAUACCGUAUAAGCUGGUAACGGGAAAGGGGGCCUCUUCUUGAAAGCUCUCGCCAGUAGAUGAGUCCGCGUUUCAUUAGCUAGACGGUGGGGUAACGGCCUACCGUGGCAACGAUGAAUAGCAGGCCUGAGAGGGUGGCCUGCCACACUGGGACUGGAACACGGCCCAGACUCCUACGGGAGGCAGCAGUGGGGAAUAUUGCGCAAUGGACGAAAGUCUGACGCAGCGACGCCGCGUGGAGGAUGAAGGUUUUCGGAUCGUAAACUCCUGUCAAGAGGGAAGAAACCUAUCAAAAAUAAUACUUUUGGUAAUUGACGGUACCUCUAGAGGAAGCACCGGCUAAUUCAGUGCCAGCAGCCGCGGUAGUACUGAAGGUGCAAGCGUUAAUCGGAAUCACUGGGCGUAAAGCGCUCGUAGGUGGCUUUGUAAGUCAGGUGUGAAAGCCCACGGCUCAACCGUGGAAUUGCACUUGAUACUGCAUCGCUAGAGUAUAGGAGAGGGAAGUGGAAUUUCUGGUGUAGGAGUGAAAUCCGUAGAGAUCAGAAGGAACACCCGUGGCGAAGGCGACUUCCUGGACUAUUACUGACACUGAGGAGCGAAAGCGUGGGGAGCAAACAGGAUUAGAUACCCUGGUAGUCCACGCCGUAAACGAUGGGUACUAGGUGUCGGGGGCUUGACCUUCGGUGCCGUAGUUAACGCGUUAAGUACCCCGCCUGGGGAGUACGGUCGCAAGGCUGAAACUCAAAUGAAUUUGACGGAAGGGCGAA
rnacentral:rRNA from 1 species